rnacentral:rRNA from 1 species
GUAAUACUUAGGAAUCUACCUAGUAGUGGGGGAUAGCUCGGGGAAACUCGAAUUAAUACCGCAUACGACCUACGGGAGAAAGGGGGCAACUUGUUGCUCUCGCUAUUAGAUGAGCCUAAGUCGGAUUAGCUAGAUGGUGGGGUAAAGGCCUACCAUGGCGACGAUCUGUAGCUGGUCUGAGAGGAUGAUCAGCCACACCGGGACUGAGACACGGCCCGGACUCCUACGGGAGGCAGCAGUGGGGAAUAUUGGACAAUGGGGGAAACCCUGAUCCAGCCAUGCCGCGUGUGUGAAGAAGGCCUUUUGGUUGUAAAGCACUUUAAGCAGUGAAGAAGACUCUUCGGUUAAUACCCGAAGACGAUGACAUUAGCUGCAGAAUAAGCACCGGCUAACUCUGUGCCAGCAGCCGCGGUAAUACAGAGGGUGCAAGCGUUAAUCGGAAUUACUGGGCGUAAAGCGAGCGUAGGUGGCUUGGUAAGUCAGAUGUGAAAUCCCCGGGCUUAACCUGGGAACUGCAUCUGAUACUGUCAGGCUAGAGUAGGUGAGAGGAAGGUAGAAUUCCAGGUGUAGCGGUGAAAUGCGUAGAGAUCUGGAGGAAUACCGAUGGCGAAGGCAGCCUUCUGGCAUCAUACUGACACUGAGGCU